AUACUUACCUGGCGUGGGGGUUACCGUGAUCAAGAAGGCGGUUCCGCCAGGGCGAGGCCUUGUCAUUGCUCUGCGACUUGGUUGACCCCUGCGAAUGCCCCAAAUGUGGGCAUCUCGGGCGCACAUAUUUUUUUUUAUUACGGUAUACAUCUUGUAAAUUCGGAAU